GAUCGCGCGGUGUCCGUCGUCCGUCGUCCGUCCGUCCGUGCGUCCGCUCUUACGAGAGCUACAUUGUGGGGUGAGCGGUAUAGAAUAAGGUUCAUUGUGGGGUGAUUUUGUAUUAUGGGGUGCAUCCCAUAAUGACAUCAUCUUAAACGGGUGCAAAUGUACAUUGUGGGUUGUUUCUUUAAUUUUCUGAGUUGCACCCCAGAAGAAAAUGGACAUAUCUGUCCCUCUUUGGACAGUUACGGACACAAUUCGUGUUUAAGAAUGAUUGCAAUCUAUUAAUAGCGGCCACCCAAUGGAAUGACGUCAUUCGGUAGCAUUCGUUAUUGUUCGGCAAAAACGGAGUUAAGCGCAUGCGCAGUCAAGUGACCUGGCCACGCCGUCGCCAUAUUGGUAGUCCUGAAGCGGAUCUAGACAGCGUUUUCACAACAACUGACACCAUGUCCAAAAGGCAGCCAGAAAGUAGCUCUGCAUGGUAGGAGUCCAUUAAAGAUGUGCCUGAUGAAACCAUUGGAAAUGUCAACAAUGGUAGCAUGGAUGGAAGUGACAGUGAUGUACCUUAAGAAAAC